rnacentral:rRNA from 1 species
AACGAACGCUGGCGGCAGGCCUAACACAUGCAAGUCGAGCGCGCCCUUCGGGGUGAGCGGCGGACGGGUGAGUAACGCGUGGGAACGUGCCCUUUGCUACGGAAUAGUCUCGGGAAACUGGGGGUAAUACCGUAUGAGCCCUUCGGGGGAAAGAUUUAUCGGCAAAGGAUCGGCCCGCGUUGGAUUAGGUAGUUGGUGGGGUAAUGGCUCACCAAGCCGACGAUCCAUAGCUGGUUUGAGAGGAUGAUCAGCCACACUGGGACUGAGACACGGCCCAGACUCCUACGGGAGGCAGCAGUGGGGAAUCUUAGACAAUGGGCGCAAGCCUGAUCUAGCCAUGCCGCGUGAGCGAUGAAGGCCUUAGGGUUGUAAAGCUCUUUCGUGGGGGAAGGAUAAUGACUGUACCCCAACGAAGAAGCCCCGGCUAACUCCGUGCCAGCAGCCGCGGUAAAGUACAGUGU